rnacentral:rRNA from 1 species
GACGAACGCUGGCGGCGUGCUUAACACAUGCAAGUCGAACGGAAAGGCCCUGCUUUUGUGGGGUGCUCGAGUGGCGAACGGGUGAGUAACACGUGAGUAACCUGCCCUUGACUUUGGGAUUACUUCAGGAAACUGGGGCUAAUACCGGAUAGGAGCUCCUGCUGCAUGGUGGGGGUUGGAAAGUUUCGGCGGUUGGGGAUGGACUCGCGGCUUAUCAGCUUGUUGGUGGGGUAGUGGCUUACCAAGGCUUUGACGGGUAGCCGGCCUGAGAGGGUGACCGGCCACAUUGGGACUGAGAUACGGCCCAGACUCCUACGGGAGGCAGCAGUGGGGAAUAUUGCACAAUGGGCGGAAGCCUGAUGCAGCAACGCCGCGUGCGGGAUGACGGCCUUCGGGUUGUAAACCGCUUUCGCCUGUGACGAAGCGUGAGUGACGGUAAUGGGUAAAGAAGCACCGGCUAACUACGUGCCAGCAGCCGCGGUGAUACGUAGGGUGCGAGCGUUGUCCGGAUUUAUUGGGCGUAAAGGGCUCGUAGGUGGUUGAUCGCGUCGGAAGUGUAAUCUUGGGGCUUAACCCCUGAGCGUGCUUUCGAUACGGGUUGACUUGAGGAAGGUAGGGGAGAAUGGAAUUCCUGGUGGAGCGGUGGAAUGCGCAGAUAUCAGGAGGAACACCAGUGGCGAAGGCGGUUCUCUGGGCCUUUCCUGACGCUGAGGAGCGAAAGCGUGGGGAGCGAACAGGCUUAGAUACCCUGGUAGUCCACGCUGUAAACGGUGGGUACUAGGUGUGGGGUCCAUUCCACGGGUUCCGUGCCGUAGCUAACGCUUUAAGUACCCCGCCUGGGGAGUACGGCCGCAAGGCUAAAACUCAAAGGAAUUGACGGGGCCCCGCACAAGCGGCGGAGCAUGCGGAUUAAUUCGAUGCAACGCGUAGAACCUUACCUGGGUUUGACAUGGAUCGGGAGUGCUCAGAGAUGGGUGUGCCUCUUUUGGGGUCGGUUCACAGGUGGUGCAUGGCUGUCGUCAGCUCGUGUCGUGAGAUGUUGGGUUAAGUCCCGCAACGAGCGCAACCCUUGUUCACUGUUGCCAGCACGUUAUGGUGGGGACUCAGUGGAGACCGCCGGGGUCAACUCGGAGGAAGGUGGGGAUGACGUCAAGUCAUCAUGCCCCUUAUGUCCAGGGCUUCACGCAUGCUACAAUGGCUGGUACAGAGAGUGGCGAGCCUGUGAGGGUGAGCGAAUCUCGGAAAGCCGGUCUCAGUUCGGAUUGGGGUCUGCAACUCGACCUCAUGAAGUCGGAGUCGCUAGUAAUCGCAGAUCAGCAACGCUGCGGUGAAUACGUUCCCGGGGCU